UGGGGAAUCUUGCACAAUGGGGGCAACCCUGAUGCAGCGACGCCGCGUGAGCGAUGAAGCCCUUCGGGGCGUAAAGCUCUUUCGACCGGAACGAUAAUGACGGUACCGGGAGAAGAAGCUGCGGCUAACUACGUGCCAGCAGCCGCGGUAAUACGUAGGGGGCAAGCGUUGUCCGGAUUUACUGGGUGUAAAGGGUGCUCAGGCGGAUUUGUAAGUCAGAGGUGAAAUCUUACAGCUUAACUGUGAAACUGCCUUUGAUACUGCAAGCCUAGAGUAUGGAAGAGAGUGAUGGAAUAUCUGGUGUAGCAGUGAAAUGCGUAGAUAUCAGAUAGAACACCAAUGGCGAAGGCAGUCACUUGGUCCAUUACUGACGCUAAAGCACGAAAGCGUGGGUAGCAAACA
rnacentral:rRNA from 1 species